rnacentral:rRNA from 1 species
CCUANGGGGGGCUGCAGUGGGGAAUCUUGCGCAAUGGGCGAAAGCCUGACGCAGCAACGCCGCGUGCGGGAUGAAGGCUCUCGGGUCGUAAACCGCUUUCAGCAGGGAUGAAAUUGACAGUACCUGCAGAAGAAGCCCCGGCUAAAUACGUGCCAGCAGCCGCGGUAAUACGUAUGGGGCAAGCGUUAUCCGGAUUCAUUGGGCGUAAAGAGCGCGUAGGCGGAUCGUUAAGUCAGAUGUGAAAACCGGGGGCUCAACCCGCGGCCUGCAUCUGAAACUGGCGGUCUUGAGUCUGGUAGAGGAAAGUGGAAUUCCCAGUGUAGCGGUGAAAUGCGCAGAUAUUGGGAGGAACACCAGUGGCGAAGGCGGCUUUCUGGGCCACGACUGACGCUGAGGCGCGAAAGCUAGGGGAGCAAACAGGAUUAGAUACCCCANUANUC